AUUGAACGCUGGCGGCAGGCCUAACACAUGCAAGUCGAGCGGAGCGGCGGACGAGUGAGUAAUUCCUAGGAAUCUGCCUGGUAGUGGGGGAUAACGUCCGGAAACGGGCGCUAAUACCGCAUACUAUCAGAUGAGCCUAGGUCGGAUUAGCUAGUUGGUGGGGUAAAGGCCUACCAAGGCGACGAUCCGUACCUAGUCUGAGAGGAUGAUCAGUCAAACUGGAACUGAGCCACGGUCAAGACUCCUACGGGAGGCAGCAUUGGGGAAUUGUGGACAAUGGGCGAAAGCCUGAUCCAGCAAUGCCGCGUGGUUGAAGAAGGUUUUCGGAUUGUAAAGUCCUUUAAGUUGGGAGGCGUUACCAACAGAAUAAGCACCGGCUAACUUCGUGCCAGCAGCCGCGGUAAUAC
rnacentral:rRNA from 1 species